rnacentral:sRNA from 1 species
CGCACCGUGGAACUGAUGCCCCUGCAAGUUGAUAGAAAUGCAAAUGCAAAAAGAGAGAAAAGAUAAGAGGCUUUCUUCACCAUCUUAUCGCCGCCCCUUGUAAUUGCCCUUGUGUUUCGCAACACCUAUUUGCUUAGUCUCCGCCUGCGUGUAACUUCAAGUUCAAUCCAAGGGUGUUUCGGCCCCUGCAGUCGCUGCCCAUUGAUGAAAUUUAUUGUGGAGGCAGAAGACAGGCGCCGUCAGCCCAUUCCAUACUUCACACUGUCACACUCUCGGCUCUGGUAGAAGACGAAGCAGAAUCAGCAGAAGCGGUACUCCUCACACACCCAGGCAUGAGUCAUGGACCUAAUUAACCGGAGCUAUAUGUAAACAGGGCUUGCACUUCUGCAAGCUUAGCAUUAACCAAAUAAACAAAAGCCACAGUG